CGGGGGGGGCAAGCGUUGUUCGGAAUUACUGGGCGUAAAGGGCUCGUAGGUGGCCAACUAAGUCAGACGUGAAAUCCCUCAGCUUAACUGGGGAACUGCGUCUGAUACUGGAUGGCUUGAGUUUGGGAGAGGGAUGCGGAAUUCCAGGUGUAGCGGUGAAAUGCGUAGAUAUCUGGAGGAACACCGGUGGCGAAGGCGGCAUCCUGGACCAACACUGACACUGAGGAGCGAAAGCCAGGGGAGCAAACGGGAUUAGAUACCCCGGUAGUCCUGGCCCUAAACGAUGAAUGCUUGGUGUGGCGGGUAUCGAUCCCUGCCGUGCCGAAGCUAACGCAUUAAGCAUUCCGCCUGGGGAGUACGGUCGCAAGGCUG
rnacentral:rRNA from 1 species